rnacentral:rRNA from 1 species
UACAGAGGGUGCAAGCGUUAAUCGGAAUUACUGGGCGUAAAGCGUGCGCAGUCGGUUAUUUAAGUCGGGCGUGAAAGCCCCGGGCUCAACCUGGGAAUUGCGUUCGAUACUGGAUAGCUAGAGUUCGGCAGAGGGAAGCGGAAUUUCGGGUGUAGCGGUGAAAUGCGUAGAUAUCCGAAGGAACAUCAGUGGCGAAAGCGGCUUCCUGGACCAGAACUGACGAUCAGGCACGAAAGCGUGGGAGCAACAGGG